CCCUUAGAUGUUCUGGGCUGCACGCGCGCUACACUGACACACGCAACAGGUGCCUGCUCCGAGAGGACUGGGUAAUCAUUUGAGUGUGCGUCGUGAUGGGGAUAGAAUAUUGUAAUUAUUACUCUUCAACGAGGAAUUCCUAGUAAGCGCAAGUCAGCAGCUUGCGCUGAUUACGUCCCUGCCCUUUGUACACACCGCCCGUCGCUCCUACCGAUGGGUGAUCCGGUGAAUGAUUCGGACUUCAGCGGCUCCUCUGGGGUGCGCCGGAGAAAGUUUUGUGAACCUUAUCACUUGGAGGAAGGAGAAGUCGUAACA
rnacentral:rRNA from 1 species